rnacentral:rRNA from 1 species
GACGAACGCUGGCGGCGUGCUUAACACAUGCAAGUCGAACGGAAAGGCCCCCUUGUGGGGUACUCGAGUGGCGAACGGGUGAGCAACACGUGAGUAACCUACCCUUGACUUUGGGAUAACUUCAGGAAACUGGGGCUAAUACCGGAUAGGAGCUCCUGCUGCAUGGUGGGGGUUGGAAAGUUUCGGCGGUUGGGGAUGGACUCGCGGCUUAUCAGCUUGUUGGUGGGGUAGUGGCUCACCAAGGCUUUGACGGGUAGCCGGCCUGAGAGGGUGACCGGCCACAUUGGGACUGAGAUACGGCCCAGACUCCUACGGGAGGCAGCAGUGGGGAAUAUUGCACAAUGGGCGGAAGCCUGAUGCAGCAACGCCGCGUGCGGGAUGACGGCCUUCGGGUUGUAAACCGCUUUCGCCUGUGACGAAGCGUGAGUGACGGUAAUGGGUAAAGAAGCACCGGCUAACUACGUG